rnacentral:rRNA from 1 species
GACGUAGGGCGCGAGCGUUGUCCGGAUUUAUUGGGCGUAAAGAGCUCGUAGGCGGCUCGUUGCGUCGGCUGUGAAAACCCGCAGCUCAACUGUGGGCUUGCAGCUGAUACGGGCGGGCUGGGAUUCGGUAGGGGAGACUGGAAUUCCUGGUGUAGCGGUGAAAUGCGCAGAUAUCAGGAGGAACACCGAUGGCGAAGGCAGGUCUCUGGGCCAUUACUGACACUGAGAAGCGAAAGCAUGGGGAGCGAACAGG